AGCAGCCGCGGUAAUUCCAGCUCCAAUAGCGUAUAUUAAAGUUGUUGCAGUUAAAAAGCUCGUAGUUGAAUUUCGGGAUCAAUUAAUUGGUCGUGCCUCUGGUACGUACUGAUUUUAUUGGUUUCUCCCUUCUGACGAACCAUGAUGUCAUUAAUUUGAUGCCGUGGAGAAUCAGGACUGUUACUUUGAAAAAUUAGAGUGUUUAAAGCAAGCUAACGCUUGAAUACAUUAGCAUGGAAUAAUGAAAUAGGACGUUUGAUCCUAUUUUGUUGGUUUCUAGGAUCGACGUAAUGAUUAAUAGGGAUAGUUGGGGGCAUUAGUAUUCAAUUGUCAGAGGUGAAAUUCUUGGAUUUAUUGAAGACUAACUACUGCGAAAGCAUUUGCCAAGGAUGUUUUCAUUAAUCAAGAACGAAAGUUAGGGGAUCGAAGACGAUCAGAUACCGUCGUAGUCUUAACCAUAAACUAUGCCGACUAGGGAUCGGAUGAUGUUAAUUUUUAAUGA
rnacentral:rRNA from 1 species